UCCAUGCAUAGCCAAAUCUUAAAAUUAGGAGAAAUCAUAAAGUAACUAUGAUUGUGGUAGAAAGAUUAUGAGAGAAAUGACACAACUGCUUAAAUGAAGACUUGAUCAAAAGAUCAUGAAUCAAAUUGGUUCAAAGUUGACAUAUCAAUUAUUCUCAAUGAUGGACAUUCAACAAAAGUUAGGAUGAAAAUCAAUACAAUGUAUGAUCAUAUUAAUGUCGGUCUA
rnacentral:lncRNA from 1 species